rnacentral:rRNA from 1 species
GAUGAACGCUGGCGGCGUGCCUAAUACAUGCAAGUCGAGCGAACAGACGAGGAGCUUGCUCCUCUGACGUUAGCGGCGGACGGGUGAGUAACACGUGGAUAACCUACCUAUAAGACUGGGAUAACUUCGGGAAACCGGAGCUAAUACCGGAUAAUAUAUUGAACCGCAUGGUUCAAUAGUGAAAGACGGUUUUGCUGUCACUUAUAGAUGGAUCCGCGCCGCAUUAGCUAGUUGGUAAGGUAACGGCUUACCAAGGCAACGAUGGGUAGCCGACCUGAGAGGGUGAUCGGCCACACUGGAACUGAGAAACGGUCCAGACUCCUACGGGAGGCAGCAGUAGGGAAUCUUCCGCAAUGGGCGAAAGCCUGACGGAGCAACGCCGCGUGAGUGAUGAAGGUCUUCGGAUCGUAAAACUCUGUUAUUAGGGAAGAACAAAUGUGUAAGUAACUAUGCACGUCUUGACGGUACCUAAUCAGAAAGCCACGGCUAACUACGUG